GACAGAGGGUGCAAACGUUGUUCGGAAUUACUGGCGUAAAGCGCGUGUAGGCUGCUUCGCAAGUCGGAUGUGAAAGCCCUGGGCUCAACCCAGGAAGUGCAUUCGAAACUGCAGAGCUGGAGUCCUGGAGAGGAAGGCGGAAUUCUCGGUGUAGAGGUGAAAUUCGUAGAUAUCGAGAGGAACACCGGUGGCGAAGGCGGCCUUCUGGACAGUGACUGACGCUGAGACGCGAAAGCGUGGGGAGCAAACAGG
rnacentral:rRNA from 1 species